GGGGGGGGGGGGGGGGGGGGGGGGGGGGGGGGGGGGGGGGGGGGGGGGGGGGGGGGGGGGGGGGGGGGGGGUGUACAGGUACCCAGGGAUGGAGGGGGAUACAGGGGUGGGGUGUACAGGUACCCAGGGAUGAGGGGGAUACAGGGGUGGGGUGUACAGGUACCCAGGGAUGAGGGGGAUACAGGGGUGGGGUGUACAGGUACCCAGGGAUGAGGGGGAUACAGGGGUGGGGUGUACAGGUACCCAGGGAUGAGGGGGAUACAGGGGUGGGGUGUACAGGUACCCAGGGAUGAGGGGGAUACAGGGGUGGGGUGUACAGGUACCCAGGGAUGAGGGGGAUACAGGGGUGGGGUGUACAGGUACCCAGGGAUGAGGGGGAUACAGGGGUGGGGUGUACAGGUACCCAGGGAUGAGGGGGAUACAGGGGUGGGGUGUACAGGUACCCAGGGAUGAGGGGGAUACAGGGGUGGGGUGUACAGGUACCCAGGGAUGGAGUAGGAUACAGGGAUGGGGUGUACAGGUACCCAAGGAUGGGGAGAGUGCAGGGAUGGGGGGAGUACAGGGAUGGGGUGUACAGGUACCCAGGGAUGGGGGUUUACAGGGAUGAGGUGCAGAUACCUGGGGAUGGUGAGUGCACAGGUACCCAGGGAAGGUGGGAGUACAGGAACGGUGGGUGCACAGGUACCCGGGGAUGGUGGGUGCACAGGUACCCACAGAGGCUGGGCACUCAGGUACCUGGGGAUGGUGAGUGCACAGGUACCCAGGAACGGUGAGCACACAGGUACCCACAGGGGGGUCAUGCAGGUGGACACACACGUACAUGGGGAUGGUGAAUACACGGUACCCUCGGAAGGUGUGUGCGUGGGUAACCAGGGUGGGAUGGGGGGCGUAGAGGUCCCAUGGAUUAUGAGGACACAGGUACCUCACACAGGUACACCCACACCUGCAGCCUCUCAGGCUCACUCACUGCCAGCCCUGUGCUUCAGCCAGCCCCGCAGAGGGGGUCCCUGGACCCUACUUUGUUGCUGAUAGUCACUCAGAUAAUAAGGCUCCCUUGGCUAAGGAGGCUCCCUUGGCUAUUGCAGUCCCGG
rnacentral:lncRNA from 12 species